AAGAGACAGCAGUCGCCACGGUAAUACGGAGGGUGCAAGCGUUAAUCGGAAUUACUGGGCGUAAAGCGCACGCAGGCGGUCUGACAAGUCAGAUGUGAAAUCCCCGGGCUUAACCUGGGAACUGCAUUUGAAACUGUCAGGCUGGAGUCUUGUAGAGGGGGGUGGAAUUCCAGGUGUAGCGGUGAAAUGCGUAGAGAUCUGGAGGAAUACCGGUGGCGAAGGCGGCCCCCUGGACAAAGACUGACGCUCAGGUGCGAAAGCGUGGGGAGCAAACAGGAUUAGAUACCCCGGUAGUCCCUGUCUCUUAUAC
rnacentral:rRNA from 1 species